UACGUAGGGUGCGAGCGUUGUCCGGAAUUAUUGGGCGUAAAGGGCUCGUAGGCGGUUUGUCGCGUCGGGAGUGAAAACGCCGUGCUUAACACGGCGCUUGCUUUCGAUACGGGCAGACUAGAGGUAUGCAGGGGAGAACGGAAUUCCAGGUGUAGCGGUGAAAUGCGUAGAUAUCUGGAGGAAUACCGGUGGCGAAGGCGGCAUCCUGGACCGACAUUGACGCUGAGGAGCGAAAGCUAGGGGAGCAAACGGG
rnacentral:rRNA from 1 species